UCAACCUCACGAUUAAUCCGUUUUUUUGUUUUCCGUACUUUGGAUAUUUUCUGUGCUUUCAGGAAACAGAUUUGUGCCCUAGCUCUAAAUUUCGUUUCAGAUAUUGCGUGUUCUUUAGUUGGUGUGUUGAUUUUGCCUGAUUUGUCUUUGUUUUCUCUGAUGGUUGUUUUUGAUUUCUGAUGGAACUAGGGUUUCAUAUCUCCACACCUCUCUUCUAAUUGUAGACCUAAUCAUCGUUCUUGGCCUCCCAAUCCAACACCACUGUGAGUACUGACUCCUUAAUUACAUGUAAUUUUUUUGAAUCAAUAUGUUCAAUGGGGUUGCACCUUUUAGAUUGUUUGCAUGGAAAUUAUUAUUGUUAAUCUUUUUUAUAGGCUUAUAUUUGAAGUUGCAGAAUUACUCUCUUCGAAAAAACAGCUAAUUGUUUCUGAUCACGAUUAAUUACCCUCUUGCUACAUAGUUGAAUACAAUGAAGUACUUCUAUUAAUUUUUGUUUUCUGUAUUUCAUAUGGUCCAAUUUGAUGGGGGACGGGGUUUUGGGACGAAGGUAAAUAUCAUACGGAUAAUCUUUACACAAAACUAAAUCAAUUAUAAUUAUUCAAUGUAUAUAAUAAUGAAUUACAUCACUAUUUAUAAUACUUUUAGACAACUUUCCUAAUCUAAGAUAACUGCAAAUUAAAGAAACUAAACAACUUCUAUUUCAUGGGCUUUCAAAGUCUUAUAUUGUUCUAACCAAUUUUCACACGCUCGUCCUACAUCAUUUCUCCUUUGCUGAAAAAAACACGACUACGUCGAGUUAAAAACAUCACCACGAGAAUAAGCACGCUGGAUCACCAAGGAAUUCUUUGCAAACUUGAAAGUUGGCAUGUCGAUAGCACAUGUAAGAGUGAACCUGAUAUGACUUUUGAUAAUUGAAUAGAUAUUAGCACGAGCAUCAUGUUGCGCACGACUAUUCCAUAAUCAUGUACGCCCUAAGAUAAUGUUACAAACAUUAAGGGGUAGAAUAUCACACAUAACGGUAUCCUUAAGCUUGCCAACGGAAAAUGUAACUGAACACCUCUGGGUAACCUGAACACCUCUGGGUAAGCUUGCCAACUUUGUAUUGGCUCAACUUUUAACCAAAGCUUAUUAAUUGCUUCCUCUGAUAUAACUUCCGUACAACUCUCAGUAUCAAUCAGAAGAGAGCAUACCUGUCCCGCACAUAUAACGCUCGUCUGAAAAAUUCGCCCACGAUGAAUUUGAAAAUCAUCCUUAUGUUUUUAAGCAACAAGUAAAUGUUGAAGAACACCUAAACUUCAUUCCAAAUGAGCAUUAACUUCUAAAUCUUGCUCACCAGGUUCAUAUUUGUCGUCCAUCGGCUUGCAAACCUAAGGCUGUAAACGAAACAAACAGUUCAGGCUCGACUCGAAAAAAUGCGAGCGAGACUCGGAUUCGUUAAUAAUAUGAUCCAAAUUUGAGCUUAAAAAAUAGUUCGAAUAAAAAUGAGUAGAAUCCGAGCUAGGUUAUACUCGACUCGUUUAAGAUUCAAACAACUCGAAUUCUCAAUUGUGAUUCGAUACAUACUCGAUCGAUAUAGAUUCGAUUAGAUACUCGAUACAUUAUCUAAUAAUAUAUAUAAAAUUAAAUCAAAUUAGGUUAAUUAAUUAUUAUUAUUUGUUUUAUUUUAAAUUUUAAUUGUGAUUUUAUAUUUGUAAAGUGUAAUAGUAAAUAUAUUUUCUCAUUUUUAAGUAAAAUAGCAAAUUCAAUUUAUAAUUAUAUUUAUUAUAAAGCUAGUUAUUAUGUGGAAACUCGAAUUCGAGCUUGAAUUUGAAGCUCGCUAGUAGUUUGAAUAUAAUUCGAUUCGAGUCAAAUUUGAUCAAAUUCAAGUAAUAAAUAUUCGAGACGAGUCGAAUCUGAGUAAAAUUUUUCAAAUACAAUUCGAAUUCGAGUUUGAAUUUAACGUUUCGAGUCAAAUUCGAGUAGCUCUCUGUUCGUUUCAAUUCGACUCGUUUACACCCUUAUGCAAACCUCUUCGUUUAAGUCGGUUUUCUUGCACGCUUUGUCAACAAUAGCAAGUUGCCUAGAGGGAGAAGAGGCAACAUUCAUCUUCGGGGAAGGACGCUCAAAAGACGUGUGCACUUAGACGUGGUUGGCUAGCAUUAGAAGAACCCGGGGUACGAUUAGGCCUGCUAGUAAUUGAAGGGUUUGUUGACGAUCUUUGCAUUGACCUAUUUAAAAUAGGCUCCACAAAAGUACGCUCCCUCCGAGUUUGGACUUGAUUUGGUAGCCUAACAUAUUCCUUUUCAAAUUAUCCUCUACUUGGGUGGCAACUUGAACAUCAUCAUCCAAGAGCAAUUUACCUAUAUCUACACCACCAAUCUCCAGAUUCAAUCCUCGACUGUACAUGAAAAUUAUAACUCAAGGAAAUUCAAACCGUGUAACCAAACUGUAGAAUAUUAAAGUAUACUUGGCUACAGAUUUACUUCUUUGUACCAACUUAGUUAACUGCCAAUAUGCUCGUUGUUUAUACUCCGAAGGUACAAAACGUCGUGUCAAUGCAACUUUCAUAUCUUCCCAUCUUCUUGCAGUUGUAUACAAAUUUCGCUGAUGUUGAUCCCACCAAAUAUGAGUUGUUCCUUUCAACUUCGCUUUACCAAAUAAAAGUUUCUUUUCAUCGGAUAAUUCAUACCAACGAAAGAAAAUCUCCAAACUAUUAAUCCAAUCGAAGAAUGUUUUGGGACCAUUAUCGCCAUUGAAAUCUCCAACAUCUAAUUUUGCUACUCUAUCCACUGCAUUCAUUCUAGUCUAAAAUAUGAGGAUUAACUCGUGGAUUAGGGUUAUGUUGUAGUCUCAGAUGAUUAAGAUCUGCGAUGUGGUGUUCAAAAUUCUUAUUAGCAUCUUCUUGUCCAUUAUCUACGUGUUCCGUGAGUACAUGAAAGCCUGAACAUUUUCGGUAAGUGUUGUGAUUGAAUCUUCAAUCCUUUUAAGACGCUUGGCGUUGAUUUUUCCAGCAUUUACCAUAGUUCUUGCAAAUAAAAAUAUAGAUUUUUUUUUAUUUGCUCCAAGGACUUAAGUGCAUAAAGUAUAAAGAAACAAGAGCUGAACUGAAACUACUGAAACUUCGAGGUUGAAAUGGAUGAAAAUGAAACUACAAGGACUGAUAUGUAAAAUUUCAGGGGUAUUUUGAAAUUUAAGAAAACUUGGGGGACUAAACUAAAAGGCUAUAAACACUAUUAUGGGGUACCUAACUUUAAUUAGCCAGAAGUUAUUUAAUACUUCAGAGCUGUUUUAAUUCUUCAGAUUUGUUCUCUGUUUUUGUUUUCUAUCCUUGAAUGUAACUAUAAGAAAAAAAGGUUAGGAGCAGGAGCAGGAGCAGGAGCAGCAGCAGCAGCAAGAUAAUAGGAGGAAGAUAGGAGGAAGGGUAAGGAGAGCAUCAGGCUUACAAGAGAAGAUAAGGAUGGCAACCACAGUAAAAAGCGGUUGCGGAGAUGGCAGAAUGUAGUAGCGAUGACUUUUCUCUUCUUCUACCUUUCUUUUUUUCUUGUUCGUGUGGUUGAUUUCUGAGGAAGGGGGUGGAAUAAGGUUGUGUUUGGUAGAUUAUGGCUAGUGUUUAUGUCUUCUGUUUUGACAUGAUGCAAAUAGGUUGGGCAAAUUUGAUGUAGCAGGGCUUUGUUCGACUAGGGUUUUCUUACUUGGAUUUAGUCACCGAUUUUGGGACGACGUAGAAGGUUGUGGUUUUGGGUUGGGCACUGAUACCAAAAUAAUGAAGUACAUGCUAUUUAUAAUGUUCGAAAAAGCUAAAAUCGGUACGAGGCGUUUUUUUCUGGGCUAUGCAAGGCGUAAACCUCGAGGCGGAGCUAGGUGGAAGCCUUGAUUUAAAGACCUAAAAGUCCCCAAAAAAUUAUGAAAAAAUACUAAUAAAACCAUAAAAUAAUUCAUCAUUACAAUUAAGGUCAUAGAAGACAUAAAUAACCAACGUCACAGUAAUGUAUCAUUACAAAACAUCAAAAUAACAUAAUAUCAUCAAGUACUUAUAUAGUGAAUAAAAAAAAUUAUCUAAUUAUUACUAACAUGUUUAUUGUUUUUAAAAAUUACUACUUGAAUAACAUCAAUAUUUUGAAUUUAAAAACUCAAACUUCAUCUAAUAUUUUUGAGGGGAUGAAGUUUUAGUUAUGGAGGUAUUUAAAGUCAAUUACUUAAUUAGGUUAAUUAUUUGGAUAUUAAAUUAUACAGAUUGAAGUUACAUGGCUAGCUAUACAAUAAUACAAGAUUGGAAGCAAUCUAUUUUAUUUGGGAAUAUAUCUAUAGUAAAUAUUUUGUUUUUAGGAAAUAAAGGUAAUAUUAAAGUAAAAUUGAUUUAGACAUUUAUUACAAUCAAUUUAUGUUUUUUUUUUAUUUUUAAGAAAAGCACAAUUUGUUAACUCAACAGUUAUCCUGGUUAUUUAUUUCUUUGAUAAUUAGUCACCCAUAACCAUAAAGAAAUCAGUGUGGUAAGAGCAUUAAAUAAUAUCUUAAAAUUUGGAACUCAAAAUAGAAAAAAAAAACAAAACAGAAGAAAUCAGAAAAGAAAAAAGAAAACGGAGGAAGAAACGAAAAACAAUAUAAAAAAAACAGAGACGUAAGCAGGAAACACAAAGAGGAAGAAGAAACGAAAAAGAGGAAGAAGGAGACGCAAGAAGAAAAGAAAAAGAAGGAGAAGAGCAAUCGAAGAGGCGCGACUCGCGGUGACAGUCAGAAGGAGAAGGAGAAGAAGAAGAAGAAGAAGAAGUAGAAGAAGAAGAAAGAUAUCUGGAGAAAGGAGGAAGUAGCAGUCGAAGAGAAGAAAGGAGAAAGGAGCAGUCUUUGUGACGCACGCCUCUUCGGUAAGUCAAGUCGAAUCUGCUCUAUUUAGGGUUUUUUAAAGGCCAAAUCGAGGUGCACGCCUCGCGACGCCUUGAGGCGCAACGCCACGAGGCGUAAGCUUCGACUGGAAAAGGUGCAGGCUUCUACGAUUCCAAACUAAGCGGUCGUCUCGCGAACUCCUUCCGCCUCGCUACGAGGCGCGCGCUAUUUCGAACCUUGACUAUUUAUAAUACUCUUAGACAACUUUCCUAACCUAACUUGAACUCUAAUAAGAUAACUACAAAUCAAAUAAGAUAACUGCAAAUUAAAGAAACUAAAUAACUUCUACUUCAUGGGCUUUCAAAGCCUCUUAUAUUGUUCUAACCAAAUUGUACGGACUCGUCCUACAUCACAAUACCUUGAGGUUUUAUAGGCUUUUGUUUAGAGUUAUAUAAUUCUUUUUCUUAAGAAAAAAAUUGCCAUAUUUUGUUUUGAUGAUUAAUUAUCUGAAUGUGACCGUUGUCAAAGUAGUCCAAAUUAUUUGGUUGUCCAUUUUUUUUUAAAUUUGUGGGUUAUUUUUUGUUAAAACAAACAUUGUUCAAGACUUAUUGGGAGAUAUGCAUCUUAUGAAUGUAAUUUUUGUUUUUGUUUUUUCCUUUGACCAUUGUACUAUAGCAGGGUGGCAGUAGGAGGUAAUGUGGUAAUGUUAGUAGAUGUAAGUAUGGC
rnacentral:lncRNA from 1 species